ensembl:lncRNA
GUUUAGUAGCCUUGAAAAAUAUGCACAGGAUAAUUUAGCCCUGGAAGGGAAACUUUGCAUACCUUAAAAGUCAAACAAACGUACAAUUCUCGUAAAUGUCUGCCUGGAAGAGACUUCAAGACACCUGUGAGUGGAAGGAAAGUCAGAAGUUAAAGUCGAUGAAUGCAGUCUUGCUUUCUCCCUGCUUUGCUCACGGUGCUGUCCACCGUGCCUAGAACAGUGCCUGGCACAUGGGAAACCCCAAUAAAGACUGUGGCCUAAUCGCUCCUGUCUUCUGUCUGCUGACCACCCAUGUGGCCCUGGGUGUCACGCUGUGCCUCCUGUCUCUAGGACCUGUUUCUUGGUCCUUCCUGUGCUGAUGGGAAAUGGCAGAGAGAAGAGGUAAGGGGGAUUAAGGCAGGGGGCG